GACGAACGCUGGCGGCGUGCUUAACACAUGCAAGUCGAACGAUGAAGCUGGAGCUUGCUCCGGUGGAUUAGUGGCGAACGGGUGAGUAACACGUGAGCAAUCUGCCCUUGACUCUGGGAUAACUGCGGGAAACUGUAGCUAAUACCGGAUACGAGGCUCGAAGGCAUCUUCGGGUCUGGAAAGAAUUUAGGUCAAGGAUGAGCUCGCGGCCUAUCAGCUUGUUGGUGAGGUAAUGGCUCACCAAGGCGACGACGGGUAGCCGGCCGGAGAGGGUGCCCGGCCACACUGGGACUGAGACACGGCCCAGACUCCUACGGGAGGCAGCAGUGGGGAAUAUUGCACAAUGGGCGAAAGCCUGAUGCAGCAACGCCGCGUGAGGGAUGAAGGCCUUCGGGUUGUAAACCUCUUUUAGCAGGGAAGAAGCGAAAGUGACGGUACCUGCAGAAAAAGCACCGGCUAACUACGUGCCAGCAGCCGCCGUAA
rnacentral:rRNA from 1 species